rnacentral:rRNA from 1 species
CCUACGGGUGGCAGCAGUGAGGAAUAUUGGUCAAUGGGCGCGAGCCUGAACCAGCCAAGUCGCGUGAGGGAAGACGGUCCUAUGGAUUGUAAACCUCUUUUGUCGGGGAGCAAAAGACGCCACGCGUGGCGUUCCGAGAGUACCCGGAGGAAAAACAUCGGCACACUUCGUGCCAGCCGCCGCGGUAAUACGGGGGGUUCGGGCGUUAUCCGGAUGUCUUGGGUUUAAGGGGGGCGCAGGCGGCCUGUUAAGUCAGCGGUAAAAGCCCGGGGCUCAACCCCGGCGAGCCGUUGAAAAUGGGCGGCUGGAGUUGGAGAGAAGUAUGCGGAAUGCGCGGUGUAGCGGUGAAAUGCUUAGAUAUAGCGCAGAACCCCGAUUGCGAAGGCAGCGUACCGGCUCCACACUGACGCUGAGGCACGAAAGCGUGGGUAUCGAACAGGAUUAGAUACCCCUGUAGUC